rnacentral:misc_RNA from 1 species
GCAAACUUGGUCAUUUAGAGGAAGUAAAAGUCGUAACAAGGUCUCCGUUGGUGAACCAGCGGAGGGAUCAUUACCGAGUUUACAACUCCCAAACCCCUGUGAACAUACCUGUCGUUGCUUCGGCGGUCUCGCCCCGGCGCCCUCGUGCCCGGAACCAGGCGCCCGCCGGAGGCCUGAAAACCAUGAAUUUUGCUGAGCUCGUCUGAGUGGUACUAGCAGAAAUGCAAUCAAAACUUUCAACAACGGAUCUCUUGGCUCUGGCAUCGAUGAAGAACGCAGC